CCGGCGACCGGCGGACGGGUGCGUAACGCGUAUGUAACCUACCUUUGACAGGGGGAUAACAUCGAGAAAUUGGUACUAAUACCCCAUAACAUCACCGGAGGCAUCUUCGGUGGUUGAAAACUCAGGUGGUCAGAGAUGGACAUGCGUUGUAUUAGCUAGUUGGUGAGGUAACGGCUCACCAAGGCGACGAUACAGUAGGGGGACUGAGAGGUCAACCCCCACAUUGGUACUGAGACACGGACCAAACUCCUACGGAAGGCAGCAG
rnacentral:rRNA from 1 species